AGUGAACGCUGGCGGUAGGCCUAACACAUGCAAGUCGAACGGCAGCACAGUAAGAGCUUGCUCUUACGGGUGGCGAGUGGCGGACGGGUGAGGAAUACAUCGGAAUCUACUUUUUCGUGGGGGAUAACGUAGGGAAACUUACGCUAAUACCGCAUACGACCUACGGGUGAAAGCAGGGGAUCUUCGGACCUUGCGCGAUUGAAUGAGCCGAUGUCGGAUUAGCUAGUUGGCGGGGUAAAGGCCCACCAAGGCGACGAUCCGUAGCUGGUCUGAGAGGAUGAUCAGCCACACUGGAACUGAGACACGGUCCAGACUCCUACGGGAGGCAGCAGUGGGGAAUAUUGGACAAUGGGCGCAAGCCUGAUUCAGCCAUACCGCGUGGGUGAAGAAAGCCUUCGGGUUGUAAAGCCCUUUUGUUGGGAAAGAAAAGCAGCAGGUUAAUACCCCGCUGUUCUGACGGUACCCAAAGAAUAAGCACCGGCUAACUUCGU
rnacentral:rRNA from 1 species